AUUGAACGCUGGCGGCAUGCUUUACACAUGCAAGUCGAACGGUAACAGGCCGCAAGGUGCUGACGAGUGGCGAACGGGUGAGUAAUGCAUCGGAACGUGCCCAGUCGUGGGGGAUAACGCAGCGAAAGCUGUGCUAAUACCGCAUACGAUCUAUGGAUGAAAGCGGGGGACCGUAAGGCCUCGCGCGCUUGGAGCGGCCGAUGGCAGAUUAGGUAGUUGGUGGGGUAAAGGCCCACCAAGCCAACUAUCUGUAGCUGGUCUGAGAGGACGACCAGCCACACUGGGACUGAGACACGGCCCAGACUCCUACGGGAGGCAGCAGUGGGGAAUUUUGGACAAUGGGCGCAAGCCUGAUCCAGCAAUGCCGCGUGCAGGAAGAAGGCCUUCGGGUUGUAAACUGCUUUUGUACGGAACGAAACGGUCUGGGUUAAUACCUCGGGCUAAUGACGGUACCGUAAGAAUAAGCACCGGCUAACUACGUGCCAGCAGCCGCGGUAACAC
rnacentral:rRNA from 1 species